AUACGUAGGGGGCGAGCGUUGUCCGGAAUGAUUGGGCGUAAAGGGCGCGUAGGCGGCCCGGUAAGUCUGGAGUGAAAGUCCUGUUUUUAAGAUGGGAAUUGCUUUGGAUACUGUCGGGCUUGAGUGCAGGAGAGGUAAGUGGAAUUCCCAGUGUAGCGGUGAAAUGCGUAGAGAUUGGGAGGAACACCAGUGGCGAAGGCGACUUACUGGACUGUAACUGACGCUGAGGCGCGAAAGUGUGGGGAGCAAACAGGAUUAGAUACCCUGGUAGUCCACACUGUAAACGAUGAAUGCUAGGUAUAAGAGGUAUCGACCCCUUUUGUGCCGGAGUCAACACAAUAAGCAUUCCGCCUGGGGAGUACGGCCGCAAGGUUGAAACUCAAAUGAAUUGACGGGG
rnacentral:rRNA from 1 species